GGAAGUGUGGCCGAGCGGUUAAGGCGUUAGCUUCAGGUCCUUCUGAUCGCUAAUCUUCGGGCGUGGGUUCGAAUCCCACCGCUUUCA
rfam:Kockovaella imperatae strain NRRL Y-17943 BD324scaffold_1, whole genome shotgun sequence.